CCUACGGGAGGCAGCAGUGAGGAAUAUUGGUCAAUGGGCGCGAGCCUGAACCAGCCAAGUAGCGUGAAGGAUGACUGCCCUACGGGUUGUAAACUUCUUUUAUAAAGGAAUAAAGUGAGGCACGUGUGCCUUUUUGUAUGUACUUUAUGAAUACGGAUCGGCUAACUCGGUGCCAGCAGCCGCGGUAAUACGGAGGAUCCGAGCGUUAUCCGGAUUUAUUGGGUUUAAAGGGAGCGUAGAUGGGUUGUUAAGUCAGUUGUGAAAGUUUGCGGCUCAACCGUAAAAUUGCAAUUGAUACUGGAAGCCUUGAGUGCAGUUGAGGUAGGCGGAAUUCGUGGUGUAGCGGUGAAAUGCUUAGAUAUCACGAAGAACUCCGAUUGCGAAGGCAGCUUACUAAACUGCCACUGACAUUGAUGCUCGAAAGUGUGGGUAUCAAACAGGAUUAGAUACCCGAGUAGUC
rnacentral:rRNA from 1 species